UUUCCGUCCAACAUGUUAUGCCAUUCGCUUUUUCGGAGGGAAGGGAAUAUAUUGUAGAUUCCAAAUGACUGAUUAUUUCUUCUCUCGGGAUUUUGGAGUGAGGUGGUGUGUGCCUUACUGGAAGUAAUUUGUCAAAUUUUAUUCUUUGUUUUCGAGUGGAAAGAUUUUUAAUCUGUUGGAAUUGGUACAACGAUCUUCGGUUCGAUACACACCAAAUGUCAAAUCUGAUGGUGUUUGAUAAGAAAAGGUUAAGUUUUGAUAACUGUUUAGAGAUUUAGAUGUUCCCAAAUGUUUUUUCAAUCGUAAGAAUUUUGGCACGAUUUUUUUUCCCUGCAUCGUUUCAAGAAAGCUAAAGAUGUUAUUAGCUCAGCUUGAGAAGACCUGCACUCACUAAAAGAGUUAGUUUUAGUGAGAAAACUCUCCUCGCACAGUACUUUAAUAAUAUGCAAAACUACAAACGUUGCCGACGAGUCGUAAACGUUGCAGUUCACUUCUUCAGGCCUAACCUGAGACCUAACCUGAUUUUCAACU